UUCAACACAGAAGGCUUCUGAGGACACUCUUCACAUCCAAAUCAAAAAAAGAUAUCAAAAGAAUCUUCUUGUUGGGUGCUCCUGCACUGCCAAGCAGAAGGGUAAGGUGCUCCAGGCCAUACUAAAAAGAGUCACGGCUGCACCAUCCCUUGACGUCACAUGUCUAGAAGAUUGAGACAAGCAAGAAUCAUCUGGAAAGAGGGAAUGUCAAUUGAGAAGCUACUUCCAUCAGAUUGGACAUUUUCUUGGUUAAUGAUUGAUACUUGAGGGCCCUGAUCACUGGGACUGGCACCUUUCAUGGGCAGCCGGUCCUAGAUUGUAUAAAAAGGAAAACUGAGAAAGCCGUUGAAAGUAAGCCAAUAAGCAUUGUUCCUCCAGGGCUUCACCUUCAGUUCUUGCCUUGAUCUCCUGCUCUGACUUUCCUUGACAAUAAACGCUAACAUGUAAGCCAAAUAAACCUUUUUCUCCAAA